rnacentral:rRNA from 1 species
UACGUAGGGGGCAAGCGUUGUCCGGAUUUAUUGGGCGUAAAGAGCGUGUAGGCGGCUUUACAGGUCCGUUGUGAAAACUCGAGGCUCAACCUCGAGACGCCGGUGGAAACCGUAAAGCUAGAGUCCGGAAGAGGAGAGUGGAAUUCCUGGUGUAGCGGUGAAAUGCGCAGAUAUCUGGAGGAACACCGGUGGCGAAGGCGGCGAUCCUGGACCAACACUGACACUGAGGAGCGAAAGCCAGGGGAGCAAACAGG